UAUAUACCCCCGCACAACAAAGUUGUAAGGGGGGUAUACUGGAAUCAGCUUGUCCGUCCGGCCGUCCGGCGUCCGGCCGUCCGUCGGUUUUUUCUUGACCGCCCAAUAACUUAAGAUUCCUAUGACCCACAGCCUUCAUAUUUGGCAUAGUGGUUACUCAUGAUUAGUAGAUGACGCCUAUUGAUUUUGAGGUCACCAGGUCAAAGGUCAAGGUCACAGGGGCCUUGACUUCAAAAACCUUGUCGGCCCAAUAACUUAAGAUUCCUAUGACCCACUGUCUUCAUAUUUGGCAUGGUGGUUAGUCAUGAUUAGUAGAUGACCCCUAUUGAUUUUGAGGUCACCAGGUCAAAGGUCAAGGUCACAGGGGCCUUGACUUCAAAAACCUUGUCCGCCCAAUAACUUAAGAUUCCUAUGACCCACUGUCUUCAUAUUUGGCAUGGUGGUUAGUCAUGAUUAGUAGAUGACCCCUAUUGAUUUUGAGGUCACCAGGUCAAAGGUCAAGGUCACAGGGGCCUUGACUUCAAAAACCUUGUCCGCCCAAUAACUUUAGAUUCCUAUGACCCACUGUCUUCAUAUUUGGCAUGGAGGUUAGUCAUGAUUCGUAGAUGACCCCUAUUGAUUUUGAGGUCACCAGGUCAAAGGUCAAGGUCACAGGGGCCUUGACUCCAAAAAGCUUGUCCACCCAAUAACUUAAGAUUCCUUUGACCCACAGUCUUCAUAUUUGGAAUGGAGGUUAGUCAUGAUAAGUAGAUGACCCCUAUUGAUUUUGAGGUCACCAGGUCAAAGGUCAAGGUCACAGGGACUUUGACUUCAAAAAGUUUGUCCACCCAUUUAUGACCCACAGUCUUCAUAUUUGGCAUGGAUGUUGAUCAUGACUAUAAGGUGACCCCUAUUGAUUUUGAGGUCACUGGGUCAAA